rnacentral:SRP_RNA from 1 species
GCUGGGGGUGGUGGCGCACACCUGUAAUUCCAGCUACUCAGGAAGCUGAGGCAGGAGAAUCACUUGAACCUGGGAGGCAGAGGUUGCAGUGAGCCAAGAUUGCGCCACUGCACUCCAGGCUGGGUGGCAGAGCGAGACUCCAUCUCAAAAAAAAAAGAGAGAGAGAGAGAGAGAGAUGGAGUCUCACUCUGUCACCCAGGCAGGAGUGCAAUGGUGCGAUCUUGGCUCACUGCAACCUCCACCUCCUGGGUUCAAGUGAUUCUGUUCCCU